rnacentral:tRNA from 1 species
GUGGUCAUGGCUCAGUGGUAGAGUGCUCCCCUAGCACGUGUGAGGCCCUGGGUUCGAUCCUCAGCACCACA